rnacentral:snRNA from 1 species
GUGCUCACUUCAGCACAUAUACUAAAAUUGGAAAAAUACAGAGAAGAUCAGCAUGGCCCCGGCACAAGGAUGACACACAAAUUCAUAAAGUGUUCCAUAUUAAA